CCCUAAGGUCCCAAAGAUUUCCCAAGGUCCCUUAGGCCUCUGGAGGUCCCCCAAGGCUCCCCAGGCCCCCAAGGCCCAAAGAUCCUCCAGAGACCCCUCAAAGCCUUCCCAGGCCCCUCAACGAUCCCAAGGCCCCCCAUGCCCCUUAGGCCUUCCUAAAGCCCCACAAGGUCUCCUAGGUCCUCUAAAUUCCCAAGACUCCCCAAGACCCUAGGUGGCCCUCAAGACCCCCAGACCUCCCUGCAUCCUCAGCCCUCCAGGAGACCCUGUCAGCAGCUGCCUCUUCUGGGAUGGUCAGGCUGAAGUCCCCAGGGGUGAAUCAACCUGUUCAGCUCCUUGCUUCCUGACAUCAGCUAUUGGUCCUGGGCUGACCUAUGGUAUGGUGUCUUGGGAUCACAUGACCACCAGGCAUUGUCACAUGGUGUCAAACAUGGCUGCCUACAGCACCACCAUAGGAGAGAUGGAAGUGAGUUCUUCUGCAGCACCCCAGAGCCGGCCUGCAGUCAGGGAGGUCUCCCCAGAGGCGUCCACGAAGCUGCCUGCCAACCUGGGUGCCCCAGGCAUGGGCCCCUGAUGCCCACGGGCGAAACUGUCACCAAGAGGAGGAAGGAGGGGCCCAAACCGGCUCUGUCUCUGUGGAGAAAGAGCCUGCCUGGGGCUGGACCCUGGUUGUGUGGCUUCAGGUCCGCCUUCCCCUCCGCCAGCCUCACCUCCAGUCUUCUCCUUGGAGAUUCCGUCCCCACCUACAGGAGCCCACUCAGACGGACCCGGUGAGAAAGGCUGCCUGGCUCUGGCCUGUCCCAUGAGCCAGAACCUGACGCAUGGACUGGCCCCGACUGCCCUGCUCCACGGUGAAGGCAGCACAGCAGACGGGGCUGACCCAGGGCGGGCCACACAUCUCAAAAAUGAGGUGCCGAGUCCAGCACAGGGCUGGGCACAGGCAGGCCCCCAACAAUGGAGCAUGACCCAGAUGAAAUGAAGCAGCCUUCCCCCAGUCUUGGUGGCCCCAGGAAGCAUCUCUGAAGUGUGGGGAUUUGGGGGUCACAGUGGGUACCCUCAAAGGCCAGCCUUGGGAAUGCUCCUGGCUUUCACUCAAACAAAUCUCCCCCUUCUCCUGCCAGAACACCCUGGCCAGGAGUGACACUGACGGACCACUCACCCUCCUGCUGACUGUACAGCCCCGUCCUGGGCUCUGGCAGACCGUGAGCACUGCCUUCCCAGCAGAACCUGGCUUGACCCCAGCAUGGCGGACAUUGUGAUAUCAGCCCAUGUAGAGACAGCCAUCUCAGACCGCUGACCUCCGAAACCAGCAGACAAUCAGCGUCUUGUUUAAGACUAAGUUGACUUUAAGAUUAAGUUUGUGUGGCCUGGCGUGGUGGCUCAUACCUGUAAUCCCAGCACUUUGGGAGGCCAAGGUGGGUGGAUCACCUGAGGUCAG